ACGCACGCUGGCGGCGUGCCUAAUACAUGCAAGUCGAGCGAGUCUGCCUUGAAGAUCGGAGUGCUUGCACUCUGUGAAACAAGAUACAGGCUAGCGGCGGACGGGUGAGUAACACGUGGGUAACCUGCCCAAGAGAUCGGGAUAACACCUGGAAACAGAUGCUAAUACCGGAUAACAACAGAUGAUGCCUAUCAACUGUUUAAAAGAUGGUUCUGCUAUCACUCUUGGAUGGACCUGCGGUGCAUUAGCUAGUUGGUAGGGUAACGGCCUACCAAGGCGAUGAUGCAUAGCCGAGUUGAGAGACUGAUCGGCCACAUUGGGACUGAGACACGGCCCAAACUCCUACGGGAGGCAGCAGUAGGGAAUCUUCCACAAUGGACGCAAGUCUGAUGGAGCAACGCCGCGUGAGUGAAGAAGGGUUUCGGCUCGUAAAGCUCUGUUGUUGGUGAAGAAGGACAGGGGUAGUAACUGACCUUUGUUUGACGGUAAUCAAUUAGAAAGUCACGGCUAACUAAGUG
rnacentral:rRNA from 1 species